rnacentral:rRNA from 1 species
GACGAACGCUGGCGGCGUGCCUAAUACAUGCAAGUCGAACGCAGUGGGGACGGGUGAGUAACACGUGGGUAACCUCCCAUCAGAGGGGAUAACACUUGGAAACAGGUGCUAAACCGAUACUGAUGGAUGGACCCGCGGUGCAUUAGCUAGUUGGUGAGGUAACGGCUCACCAAGGCCACGAUGCAUAGUCGACCUCAGAGGGUGAUCGUCCGCACUGGGACGGCGGCACCGCCCAGACGCCUACGGGAGGCAGCAGUAGGGAAUCUUCGGCAAUGGACGAAGGUAGGACCGACCAACGCCGCGGGAGUGAAGAAGAUUGUCGGAUGGUAAUACUCUUUUGUUAGGAAAGCGGUAUCUAACCAGAAAGCCACGGCUAACUACGUGCCAGCAGCCGCGGUAAUAC